rnacentral:rRNA from 1 species
ACGGCUCAGUAACACGUAGUCAACCUACCCUAUGGACGAGAAUAACCUCGGGAAACUGAGAAUAAUGCUCGAUAGAACAUUAUACCUGGAACGGUUUAUAUUUCAAAUGAUUUAUCGCCGUAGGAUGGGACUGCGGCCUAUCAGUUUGUUGGUGAGGUAAUGGCCCACCAAGACUAUUACAGGUACGGGCUCUGAGAGGAGUAGCCCGGAGAUGGGUACUGAGACACGGACCCAGGCCCUAUGGGGCGCAGCAGGCGAGAAAACUUUGCAAUGUGCGAAAGCACGACAAGGUUAAUCCGAGUGGUUUCUGCUAAAGGAACCUUUUGUCAGUCCUAGAAACACUGAUGAAUAAGGGGUGGGCAAGUUCUGGUGUCAGCCGCCGCGGUAAAACCAGCACCUCAAGUGGUCAGGAUGAUUAUUGGGCCUAAAGCAUCCGUAGCCGGCUCUGUAAGUUUUCGGUUAAAUCUGUACGCUUAACGUAAAGGCUGCCGGGAAUACUGCAGAGCUAGGGAGUGGGAGAGGUAGACGGUACUCGGUAGGAAGGGGUAAAAUCCUUUGAUCUAUUGAUGACCACCUGUGGCGAAGGCGGUCUACCAGAACACGUCCGACGGUGAGGGAUGAAAGCUGGGGGAGCAAACCGGAUUAGAUACCCGGGUAGUCCCAGCUGUAAACUAUGCAAACUCAGUGAUGCAUUGGCUUGUGGCCAAUGCAGUGCUGCAGGGAAGCCGUUAAGUUUGCCGCCUGGGAAGUACGUACGCAAGUAUGAAACUUAAAGGAAUUGGCGGGGGAGCAC